GCUAGAGUGCAGUGGUUUGAUCUCAGCUCACUGCAACCUUCGUCUCCCAGGUUCAAGUGAUUCUCCUGCCUCAGCCUCCUGAGUAGCUGGGAUUACAGUCAUUUCCCUGGAAGUGGCAGCUGUGACAGUAAAGGAAGAAUCAGAAGAUCCUGAUUAUGAUUAUAUCACAUUCAAGACAAGAGCCUGCUGUGUUUCUCAGGCUGGAGGGCAGUGAUGUCAUUACAGUUCACUGCAGCCUUGAACUCCCAGGCACAAGUGAUCCUCUCAUCUCAGCCUCCCGAGUAGCUGGGAAUUACAGG